AAUCUAACAUAAUUUUUUCUUUUAUUCCCUUUCAUGAUAACUUUUUUUUUUUGUUUCUGCAGGGGGCAUGUAUCAUGCUUCAGUGAAGGGAGUACAUGACUCGUGUUGACGAGUGCCUUCAGACGAUUAAGGCAGAACCAAUCGAUAGGUUCAGGUGUCUGCCAGAAGGGAUUAGACCAUCCUUGCAAAAUCAUCUGAUGAGCCCAAGGCAGAGACGACGUCGUUACAAACAAAUAAUAUGCAUGUAAUUUUGAAACAUCCAUUAUAUGGGUUAAAUAUUUAAGAUUGGAAAAUUA
rnacentral:lncRNA from 1 species